GUGCCCUUUUAAGGUUGACGCAGCGCCUUAAGAGGCUAACACAGAAGGGUAAACUAAGUCUCCAUAAAACCCAGAGACUCAGAGAUGGUAAAACUCCUCUUUGGAUCCUAUCUGGAGUCACAGCU